rnacentral:lncRNA from 1 species
CUGCACAAACAAACAAACAAAAUCAAUGAAUCGGUUUCAUAAAUCAAACACCAUGAUUUUCUUUCUCUUUGCAAAAAUAAACGGAAAGGAAAAAAAAAAAGGUUAAUUACGUGUCGCAGUUAAUGGUAGGAUCAAAGGAAAUGGCGACAGUAACACCGCACAAUUGAGGAAGCUGUUUAGCUUUGUCGGGAUCAACACCUUCACUACGACUAGCUGCCUCGAGACAACGACACAAGUCCUUGCGAAUUGCAGUGGUGCUAGCGGCGGCGUUGAUAUUAGCCACCGCGGAACAACAUGUUGCAACGGGUGUGGAUUCCCCGCCGGUCAAGAAAGGCCGACAAGGCAUCAGUGACAAUAAAGCUUCUUGGCAUGUUAUUGCAUCCACAGAUUUUGAUUUCGCUAUCAAAAUCAUGAUAAACAUAAGAACCCCAACAAGCGACCAAGAAAAUCCCAUGAAUUUCUUCUCCAUUUUUUUUUCUCUUGUUUUGGAUUAAAAAUUUAGUGCUAAGAACACUUAUUUAUAGGCAUAACUUUGGAUUCUUUCAUUUUAUGUUGAGUUAAUACCACUUAUUAUGGCGGAUUUAAAACUACGGCUUAAGCAGUAAAUUUAUAUUUUUUAUUAUUAAUUUUCAAGUAUAAAUUAUUCAAUAAUUAAACUACGUAUAUAUUUAUGAUUUGAAUAUGAAUAAAAUUAAAGUUUAACUUUUUAACCUUGAUAAUUGUAUUGUGCUUUCAAUUUCUAAUAAAUAAUAUGAAAAGUUCUAAAAAGAAUUAUUUUGUAAGAGAUAAAUAUAUAUAUAUAUAUAUUUUUAAAACAUUAAAAAGGGUUGGUGUUUGGAUUGAGAUAAAAAUUUAAAAUUUUAAGGAGUUUAAUGUAAUAAAGAUGAUCUUAAAAGACAUAUGAUGUAAAAUUUUAAAAAGUUAGGGGCCACUGUCCCCACCUUCCCCUUUAUCGGCCAAUGGAACUUAAUGUUUGUGAUGUGAAUUAAUUACCUUCUGAAGAUUCUUUUGUUUUUAUGUGAUAAGAUAUUAAUUGUAGGUUGAGGUAUGAGUUGGACCAAUUAAUAUUAAUAUUCUUUUUUAAGUUAUAAGCUGAUAAUGAGAAUAAAUGUCGAGAAAAUUUAAAUCAAAAUUAAAUUAUGUAAUAAAUUUAUAAAAUGUGUUGAUGUAAAUGUGAAAGAAGGUUUUAGUUGAAAUUAUAAAAUUUGCUUCAAAUUUAUUUUGGGUAAACUCUAUUAGUACAGUCUACACCAAUCGAAAACUCUCUUUCUCCUUCUCUUUUACAGUUCAAUUUUUUUUCAUGAAACAACUUUGAAUGUCUUGUAUCUAUGAAUCAAAAUCCAAUUAGCUUUCUUCUCCGAUCUUUAACAUUGAUUGUCAAAUAGACUUGGAUCUAAGGUAUGUUUGCUGAUGGAUAAUGAUUCAUAGUAUCAAUCGUUUGAAACUUGUUAGUCGGACUUUUUAAAAAAAAUGUAUAAUAGCUGAUUGACUUAAAUAAAAACUUUCGAAUAGUUUGUAAUAUUUUGAAGUUAAACGACCAAAACAUAAAUUUACUAAUAUUUUAAUGACAUUGGGUGUAGCUUACCCAUGUAAUUUUAUAGAUUUUAUAUAAAAAGACAAAAACACCUCCAAAAUAAUAUUUGCUACUUUGUAAAAUAAUAUAUAUAUAUAUUUUUUAUAAUUUCACAAUUAAACUAGACUCGAUUGAUAAAUAGCACCAACUCAAUCAACACUUAAAUAUGGAAGAUAGAAGAUAGAAAUAUAGGUAGAUGUUAAUUUGUUUUCAUAUCCAUUUUAUAAUUUAUAUUCGAGGUUCGUGACUAUCCUUUUAACAAUGCCGUCUUCAAAAUUCGAACUUACACCAAAUAUGGUUGAUAUAUAGCUAUAUAUUAAUUAAUAUUAGAAUGGUUAGCAAAACUCUUUUCAUUAUAUUAAAUAAUUUUAAUUUUCAAGACAUUGGAGUUGCUUUUUUUGGUCAAUUCAAACAUUGGAGUUAGCGUAGUAAAAAACAGUAGAGUGGUAUUGUAACCGACUCAUAAUUCAAAUUUUUUUUGUUAGAUCAUUUAAUUUUUAAGUUUAGAUUAUGGACUACUUUAGCAAGUGUUUCGGUGAAACCAAGGUCUAAACCGAGUUUAAGGGAUAAAGAAUUAUACAUGAGUGAAAUGACAUGAAAAUUUUCAAUGGAGUUUUUGGACUGCAAGAGGCAAGCAACCCUUUUGGAAAAAUGCAGAAUUGAGGAAUGUGAAAGGCUGGAGUCUAUUUUUUCGUCUUGGUGUCCAUAGCUUAAAAGCCUCAAGUCUUUAGUUCUUCGGCAUUUGAAGAACCUGAACGUCCUAGUUGGUAAAUGCCGGGAUGUUAAAAAAGUGAGAGAAUUUUAAUAAAAAUAUAAGUUCAAUAAAUAACUUUUACCAAAAAAAAUAAGGUCCAUUUUAAAAAUGGGCCAGGCUUCGGUAAAGUUUUUUUAUUUGGGCCUAGCUCGGGCCGAAUUUUCAAUGAAAAAAACCCUGCUAUUUUUGCUGCUCUUUUUCUAUGUUGUACUGUUGUUUUUCCAUUUUUUGUCACUAUUUUGUUACCAUUUUACUAUUAUGUUACUACUAUUUUGUUGUUAAUGUUUUGGAUAUUGUAUAACACUUAUUUUAUUCUUAAUUUUGCUACUAUUUUAGAGGCAUUUGCUUAUUAAGUUGCACAUAUUUUAGUAUUAUUUAAGUAUAAAGACUAUUUUUAAUUUAUUUUCAAUUUGUUGGAAACAUUUAUUUUAAUAUUUGUAAUGUGUUCGAUUUAAUACAAGCCGGAUCUAGAUUUUAGCAUUUUUACCCAAGUCGAGCUUGACCAAAAAUCUAAACCUAUUUUUCAAGUCGUGCCGAGCAGAUCCCGACCCAUAAACAAUUGUAUCCAGAACCAUUCCCCAUAUCUUUUUCUCUAUUAAAGUACUUUUCUUAGUUAAAUGUCUCCAAAAUAAAGAUUUUGUUCACAUCUAAGCUACUGUUGGUACAACAGUCAUUAUUUGGAGAUUUGAUCAAUGGGAGGAGGAGAAAUUAAGGGCACUGGGAUUAUAUCAUCCACCAAAAAUUGAAGACCAUUUGCAGCCACAGACAACGUAAUUAUCGCAAUUCUCAUUCUUCCCUAAAAAUUAAAAAAAGUAUAGUUAUAUCCAAUUUAGUGGAACCCAUCAAUUACGAUGGUCUUAUGCAAUUACAAACAAAUCCAAACAUUAAAUAUAUAUCAAUUAUCACUUAAAACACGUAAAACUAUAUUUUACUAAACUUUUUUUAGUUUCAUCCUCUCUAUAUUUUAUAAUUUGAUACACCUUUAGUUUAAACAUAAUCCAUUUAAGUAGAAUAAUUUUCUCUCUUGGUUUCUCAAUCAAUCAAAUUUUAUACAUUUACAAUAACCAUUGUCUUAAUAUUUCGAAAAUUACAAGUUAAAAACUGUUCUGUUAUUCAAAACUUAUAUACUUUUUACAUUUAUUAUUCAACAUUAAUUAAAAAUUAUAUAACAUUUAAAUUUAAUGUUUUCAAAUCAAUUUUUUACGGUCAAGUUAAACCAAAUUUGGAUAACAAAAAAUUUGCUAGUUCUACCUUCUCAAUCCUCAAACAAUUUUUUCCUUUUACAUUUUGAAACAUAUUAUAUCAUCCAAAUUAAACUAAACAAUUAUUAGAGUGCAUAUAAAUUCUCAAAUCAAACCUUAAAGUAUAUUACUUUUUAACCUUAUCACCAUAUGUUCCUAGUUCACUCUUUUAGGUGUUAAAAAAAUCGGCUAGCCUAUCAUGCCAUCAUAUGAAAAAAAUUUGAAAAUCUUUAAAAAAUACAAAUAAAUUUACAAAAAUUAUUUUAAAAUAUUACAAAAUUAUUAAAAUUGCUAAAAAUAGAAAAAAAAAUACAAAAAGUUAUAAAAUAUAAAAAACUAAAUUUUAGUAAAAGUUUUAAUUUUUUUUUAAAUUUUAUAAAUAACAUUUACUAAAACUUGAAUAUGAGAUCAUUGUGUCUUGAAAAGAAACCAUCUACAAUAAUUAUUUUAUAAUUCAAUCAAUAAAAAAUUAUAAUUAAUAAAUUUUUUAGGAAAUAAAUUUGAUUAAAUAUGACCUCAUUUUGACCACAAUUUCAAGUUUUUGAAAGUUUAAUAAUGGCUUUGUGUUGCAUGUAGUGAGUCAUCAUAACAUGAACUGAAAUUAUUCCAUUGGCUUGUGAAAACAUUAUCAUUUCCUCUACCUACAUUUAAAUAUUAGUAUUAAUGUGUUUGUUUUCCCCCUAUGUUUUUCUUACCAUUCCCUUGUUGUUUUGAAAUGAAAUAUCAAAUUGAUUGAAUUAUAAAAUAAUUAUAUAAGUGGUAUUCUUUUAAAAAAAAAUAUACUGAUACCAUUUUCAAGCUUUAUUAAAUCUGAUUUAUAAAAUUUUAAAAAUAUUAAAAUUUUUAAUAUAUUUUUAAUUUUUUUUGUAAAUUUUAGUAUAUUUUUAAAUAUUUUUAUGAUGCUUUUUUUUUAAUUUAUAGUUUAAUGGUUUUAAAUUUUUAUAAUUUCUUUUUUUGUAAAUUUUAAAGAUUUUCAAUGUUUUUGAUGAUGUCACUGUGAUGUCAUUGUAUGACACGUGGCAAUAAAUGAUUGGUAGAUUUUUUUAAUGUCCAAAGGACUGAACCGGAAAGGUCUAAUAAUAUUUGGGACUAAAUUGGGAACGUUUGAUAACGUUAGGGAUUGAAGUGAGCCAAAAAAGAAUUUAAGGAUCAAAGUGAGAAAUGCGAUAUUCUUCAAGGACUAACAUUGCAUUAAGCCUUUAAGGAAUAAAGUAAAUUUAUUUCACCCUUUAACAUGUUAUAAUUUAAAUUUGGGUAAAUUAUACUAAUAGUCACUCAAAUAUUAGUAAAUUUCUUUUUUGGUUACUCAACUAUGAAAAGUUACAAAAUGAUCACCCAACUAUAGAAAGAUAACUUAGUAGCUUUUAAAAUUGGCAUAAUAGCAACUUUAACCCUCAACAUUUAUACAUUGUGUCAAUUUAGUCUUGAUUCUAAAAAAAAUAACCCUCAACAUUUACAUAUUGAGUAAUUUGGUCUUUUGUUGCAGUUUUGCUUUUCUUUAUGACAUUGAAGAUUAAUUUUAAAAGAAUAAGAAAAAAGAUGAAAAUUGUUAUCUUGGAUUUUUUGGUGUUUCAAUUUUUGGUAUAUUUUCAAUCAAAUUUAGCUAAUAAUUUGUUUUUUUAGCUUUUUAAGUGAAAGGGUCACAAACAAAAGCAAAACUGCAAACAAGACCAAAUUAUAUAGUGUGUAACUGUUGAAGGUUAAAGUCGUUAUUACGCUAAUUUUAAAAGCUACCACGUCAUCUUUCUUUUAUCCAUUCAACUGCUGGUGACCAAAAAAGAUAAAAUUAAAUAGUUGGGUGACCCUUUUGUAAUUUUUCAUAAUUGGGUGACUAAAAAAAAUUUUACCAAGAGUUGAGUGACUAUUAGUGUAGUUUACCCAUUUUAAUAUUUUUUCUAUCAAUAUUUGGCAUACAAAUAUUUUUUUUAUAGUGGGUUAGAAGUAAAGAAGUCAUUUGCAAUUCGAAAUAAUGACUUGUAGGUGUAGAUUAGAAAGAAGAAAUGAGCAAAUCAUUUCUUCUUCAUUAUGUAUUACAAGAUUUGACUAAAAAAUCAUUAAUUUCUUCUACCAUAUAACUAAAGCUACAUUAAUUUAUUCUCCUUGUUCUUCAUGCUUUUAUUCAUGGUGACAUGCAGCACCACAUUUCCAUUGCCUACUUGAUCCUACAUGUAAACAAACCAUCUUCCUAAAUCAAACACCAUAAUUAGCUUUCUCAUUGCAAAAUUAAACUAAAUAAAAACUUACGAGCCACAGUUAACAGUAGGAUCAAUGGGAACGGUGACUCUAACAUCGCACAAUCGAGGAAGUUGUUUAGCUUUGUCAGAAACAACACUUGCACCAUGACGAACUUUCUUGAAACAACGACACAGGUCCCUGCGAAUUGCAG